rnacentral:rRNA from 1 species
CGUAACCUUUGUACGGACGUCGCGACCCGUUCGGUGUCGGUCUUCAGGAGACGUGUGAAAGUUUGUGGGCGCGUGUCGGUCGUUUCGGCGGUUCGGCGCGCGUUCGCGAGUACGCGUUUUUUUCUGGCCGACUCGCCGGACGGUAUGCGAAACGGUGACCGCGGCGGCCUUUCGAGCGCCGUCGCACUGUGGUACCGGUCUGCGACGAAUCUUCGGGCCUCUUUCCGACCCGUCUUGAAACACGGACCAAGGAGUCUAACGUGCGCGCGAGUCGCGGGGUGUCGAGCGGUUGGCGGCGCGUGUUCGCGCGCGUCGUCGGCCGUUCGUUACAAUACGAAACCCGUCUCGUUUUACGAAAGGCGCAAUGAAAGUGAAUUUAGGGGAAGAUGACGUUACCGAGUUCACGUUCCGCGCUCUCGAAGCGCGGCCGGUCGUCCGCAUUCCCAGGGCGUCCCAAUGGCCCGGCGGCGUUGCGGAUCGUCGGCCCUUCGGGGUCGGCGGUCGGGCGUCGUCGAACCGGGGCGCACCUAUAGCGUGCACGUUGGUACCCGAAAGAUGGUGAACUAUGCCCGGCCAGGAUGAAGUCAGGGGAAACCCU